GCGAUGAGCUUGUUUGCAUAAGUCGUCCAGCAUUCCUGAAAAGGAACAUGUUGUGGAGCAUGGCUGUUGACGCCGCAAAUUUCGAGAAAACGCCCUUUCUUUUGAUAGGGCGUU
rnacentral:sRNA from 1 species